rnacentral:lncRNA from 1 species
AACAAAGGAAGAAAAGAAAGAACAAGAACCCUAGGGUGAAAAUUCAAGAGAAAAAUUGAUGGAUUCCAAGUAAUCAAGUAAUCAAAGGUAAAAUUUCUUGAUUUUUACUUGUGAUCUACCUUUUCCAUGCUUGAUUUUGCAUUUUCCAUGGUUGAAUCACAAGAUAUCAUGAAGAAUUCAUGGCUAGCCGAAUGGGUAUGGAGAGAGAAUGAUGUUGGAUUGAUAUGAUUUCAAGUUAUGUUAGUGUUUUUAGUUAGUUUACCAUGUCUAGAAGCAAAACAACAAGAAAAUAAUUUAUUUUCCCCAUCAACCAUCAAUGGCCGAACCUACCUUGUAUUGAGUGAGGAUGAAUUUGAUUUUUAUUUUAAGAGAAUUAGUUAGAAAAUGAUGAAUUAUGGUGUGGAGAAGUAGUAGGAAAAAUCACGGUGUUGAUGCACCAUUAUUGACUGAAAAUUCUAAGAAGAAAAGUGAAGAUGGAGUUGCCAAAUUUUAGGUUAUUUGAAUUGUGUUUGGAGAAUUAAGGUAUUGAAAAAGAAAUGGAGUUAAUUGGAGUUGAAUUGGACAUAUUGGUCAAUUAAUCGGGUGAUAAGACGAAUUAGGCCAAUAUCGGAUUUAGAUGGUUAUCCGUGCAUUUUGCAUUCCAUAUCAUGCAUUAGUAGUCUAAAUUAGUUUAAUUUCGAUUUAGUACCAAUGUAGUAAGUUUCUCGAUUUUGUACUAUGUCAAGGUGCUGAAUCCUCCGAUAAGGGUAAAGAAAUUAUACCCGAGGAUCGAUAGUCGAAGCACUCUAAAAAUUCGACUAUCAAAAUAGUGAGUAACCUUAUCAUCAUCUUAAUUAUCUAAAGUAUGUUUUAUUCGAUUUUGUGAAUUUUAUGAAAAAUGAAUUAAAUGAUUAAGUUUUCGAUUUUAUAAACAAAAUGUGUUUAAAUGAAAUAAUUUUAUAAAUUGUUUUGAAAUUAAAUGAUGGCUUUGAAAAUAGAGUAAUUGGAGACCACUUGAUGUGUUGUAAAUUUAUGGUUUUAAUUGAUUGGCUUAUGGCACUAUGGGCAUGAAUGGUUGAAUUGCUAAAUGUGUUUAAAUAUAUGAAUUGUUGAUUUGCCUUGAAAGGCUGUGAAUUACAAUAAUUGCCAUAUCAUGUUAUUGAAUUUUAUUGAUUGGUGGGAUAAUUAUUAGCUUACUGUAGUGGGCGGGUUUUUGUGGACCAGCCUAUUAGAGGGGCACGAUAAACCCCAUUAUAUCUUACCUCAGUAUGAGAUGCGCGGGUGGAUAACUCCUGAGGUUAACACUUUAGAGUUCACUUCACGCCAAACCACCACGUGAUGGUGAACUUAGCCAACGCCGAGGAAUGACUAUGUUUUCAAAACAAAACAUGAUUUAUGCGUACAUAAUUAUUUUUACAACCUUAGCGGACUCGGUGGGGAUAGCCCUUGAUCAAGGUAUCCCUGAUAACUGAGUAUGAGAAUGAUUUUGGCACGAGCCAAAGCUUUUAAGAAAUUCAUAAGCCAUUUUGAUUACUCGAUUUAUAUGAAUUGAUUUUAUUUGCUUGAAACAAGUUGAAAGGUGAUGACUUACAGUAUGUUAAACUAUUUUAUCUGUCUCCAUUUACUCGGCUUUAGAUAUUUUAGAUGGUAUUUGUUUACUCAGUGGGAUUAUAUAAUCUCACCACCCUCCUUUUCACCCAUUUCAAGCUUAGAAUAGAUUGUAGAUAACUGAUAUCGUCGAGGACUACAAUUGGACUUGCCACAUCCAAAAACUGUAGGUUCAUUUCUUUUGAUACUUUUAGUCAUUCGUGGGCCCACGUGUCACUGUAAAUUAAAUUUUAUACUUUGGUUAUUUGUAUUACAGGAUGUAUGAAUUUAUUUAGCUUUUACGCUAUAAAAAAUUAUUUACCGAUAACUCUAUAAAUAUUGUUUUAUAAGAAAAUAGAAUAUUUUAUUGAAUAUUUUUGUUAUAUUCAAAUAGAUAUAGUUUCGUUUUAAAUGAAUGUUUUAGACAUCUGAAUUUAUUUUUGAUUAUGAAAUAUGUGUUUUUCACUAGUAUACUACAUUUUUAACUGGUUUCAAGAUUUGUGAGGAAAAAUGACCAAAGUGCCCUUGUGAGACAAAAAAAUUAUUGUUUAUUGUUUUAAGUUGGAAAUAGUUUAAAAUAUUUUAAAACAUGAUAUUUGGCAACGGUUACUCAUAAGGGAAAUGAGAAGCUGAUAUUAAAGCCUUGCGGGGUUCCGGUUGACAUUUCGGGUAAUGAGUGUCGAUCAAGACAUCGCGACGGUUGUCACGGGCUCAAGGGGAGAUCCGGGUUGUGACAUUUCUCUUCUAUAACAUUCAUAAGAAAGAUGACCUAUUUUGCUAUAUACAUAAUGCCUAAAUGAGAAACGAUGAAAAUUUCUCUUAAAGGUUGUAUUUCUUCUUGAUGAUUCUUUUGUCAAGCCCUUAAGAGCAAUGUUUUUCUUCAUUUCUUUGGCUACUCUCUUAUCUUCUUCUUCUUCUUCUUCUUUAAGCUCUAGCUCAUGAGUGAGAAGAGAACCACAAAUUUCAUCAAGAGUGAUAACAUUCAUAUCCUUAGCCUUUUAAAUAGCAGUCACUUUUGGCUUCCAAUUCUUAAGUAGGCUUCUAAGAAGUCUUUUGACAAGUUCAUGUUCAGGAAUUGGUUUACCUAACUGACGAAGUUUGUUGGUGAUGUUAGUAAACCUAUCAAAUAUGAUGAUGAUAUCUUUAGUAGGUGCUAUCUUGAACAUUUCAUAGUUAUGGGUUAGAAGAGCAAUUUUGGACUCCUUAGCUUGUGAAGUCCCUUAAUGAAUGAUUCUAAGUUUGUCUCAAAGUUGUUUGGUGGUGAUGUAGCUUGACACUUUGUUAAUUUUGUGGGAGUCAAGGCACAAUGUAGAGUAUUAAUUGCCUUAAAAUUUGUUUGGACUUUUUUGGUUUCAGUUUUAGUCCAUUCAGCUCUCUGCUUAGGAAUCUUUUCACUGGUCGCAACAUUUGUGGCCGAGAAAAUAUAAGGUUCUUUAGUGAUAACAUUCCACAUUUCAUAAUCUAUUGCUCUUAUGUAAAUAGACAUUCUAGUGCUUCAAUAUGGGUAGUUUGAUCCAUCAAAUAGAGGUGGUCUGCUUGUGGAUUGUCCCUUAGCAAUAACAUAUUUUUGAAGAGCCAUUUGAAUUUUCCCUAAGGAUGUUAAGCCUUAACAAUGAGGGUUAGGCUUUAAUAUCACUUGUUGGUCCCCAAGUGUGUGCUAGAAGAGAGGUGAAUAGCACUUUCUUAAUGUCGCUAACCUUAACUUCUAAUUAAGGUCUUGUUGAAGGUACAUGAUAUAAAGUUGAGGACCAAAUGGAAGGAUGAUUUAAAGAAGAAUUAGAUGAAGAAAUAAAAAAGGGUAGACAACGCAUAAAGAUUUAGAGUGGUUUGGUUUCUAUGACCUACAUCCACUACCUUGAUCUUCCAAUUAAGGGUUUUUGAAUCAAUUUACUAGAAUCAGUGGAUUUCCCAAGCAUCCACCAAGCUUUUACAAUGGAUUUUCAUAGGCUUAGCCACAACCUUUCAACAAUGAUUUUUCACGGGAUCCAUCAAAACUCAAAAUCUAACUUUUCUAAGGCUGAGUUAGAACCUACAACAAUAAUCAAGCUCACCUAAGCUUGAUUAAUCCUCUUAGAGUGCCUCGUAUACUCUAAGUAAUCAAAGAAUACAAAUAUGAAGAUUUACCUAUGAUCACUAACCUAAUCUAAAUGGUACAAGAUGAAGUGUUAAACUCUAUUACAAAGAUCGGAGUGAAACAAAAAAAGAAUUAAGAGGAUUUUUGCUUUUUUUGGUCCCUUUUUGUUCUUGGAAGCAUCUCAAGUUCUUCUUAGCUAUUGGAGAUGUAUUUUAUAUUUAAAAAGUCAACUCUGAUGGAUGCUGAUAGCUUUAGACUAUUGGAACAGUUUAAAAUCCUUUCUACCCAUUUUUUGUCUUCAGACAUUCAAAUUCAAAUUUUUAAUAGUAAGCUUUUAGCUAGCCAACCAUACUUCUUAGUUGAUUAAGUAUUCUCUAUCUUGUAAUCUACUUUACUCUGUUAAUCUGUUAAGUAAGACUUUAACUGAUUAAAAGCUUACUAUUUUUAUAGCAGCCCACUUCACUUUUAGAUUUUAGCUGACUAAAUUUCUUGGUUUUCUAACUAAAAGACUUUUAUUUGUAACUAAUUUUGUGACCUCUUAUUUUGAUGAGUUCUGAUGUUUGUUUCCAAGUGACUAUUUUACUAAGUGACAUACAUUUUUAUUCUGUACACUCAAGUAGUAAAUUAGACAUUAAUAAAUGGAAAUAUUUUGUUAUCAUAAAAAACUAAUGGAGUCAACAUGAUUGGUUCACUCUUUUAUCUAACUGCAAGUGGACCUUGUGAGACCUUGACCUUCAUAGACAUAUAGCGAAGGUAGACCCUAUGAUGUGGAAUAGGGGUAGUUUGCUCAUUUUCCUGGUGACCUCCUAGAAGUGGGUUUUCUAAUAUUAUUAAGGCCUAAGUAGGCCUGAGGCAUAAAUGAAUGAUGAAAAUAAGAAUAAAAUGACGAAGGAAAUAGAAAUAAUGAUCAAGGUAAGGGCAAAAUGGUCAUUUUUCAUCUCGAGUUGAAAUUUUUAAGUUUUCAUGAACCCGAGUAUUUCUAGACUAUUAUGGACUUUAUCUAAGUGUCAAAAGAGUAAAAAGAUUGCAUAAAGGAUUGGAGGAAGACAAAGCCAACUUGUUAAGGGUAUUUUCGUAAUUUAAGUGAAGUUUGGAUAAGCUUAGGCUAUAAAUAUCUCAUUUCUCCGGCAACUUCCUCAUUUUUCCAGCAGCUUCUUGUUUUUCUUCCUUGCAUCUCCCAUUUCUUCAUCUUCCAUGGAAGCAUCCAUUAAAGCUUCCAUAACUCUCCAUCUCUAGCUUCAAUUUUCAUGCUUUUGAGCACUUUUUCAUAGAACCUUUUGUGCUCUUUCACUCUCUCACCUUAAAACCCUAAAAAGUCUUUGUUCAGCACUUUCUCUCACUAGUUGAAAGUUUUAGAGAGAGAAAGAGAGACUUGCCAUAGUAGCUGGAAAACUAUUGAAAAUGAGUUCAACUACAAGUCCACCAAGGUUCCAACGAGGCCUCACAUGUCCGUUGAAAGCAAUAAUCAAUGUUAGAGUCAAUUAAAGAUUAAACAAAUAUCGGUGAGUGAACUUGCAUCAAAGUGUUUUUGGAAAAUAAAUAUGUGUUGGGAUGAAGCAUUUAAAUGAUUUUACUUGGCUUUUCAUUAAAUUAUGCAUGGGAACAAGCCUUUAUUAAAAUGUUUUAUGUUGUGAGUGCGCAAUAUGAUGAAUCCUUGUGCCUCUAUAUGAUGUUGAUAUAUAUAUGUUGUGUAUUGAUAGUUAAUAUUAUGUAAUAAAUAGAAUCGUGCAUGUGCACAAUGUGGGGGGAUGCACAUGCCGGUGAUGAUGGGGUGUGGGAGUGUGGGUGAUGAUAUUGCUUGUGCAUGAUGUGGGGGGAUGCACACAAUGAUAAUGCUUGUGCACGAUGUGGGGGGAUGCACAUGAUGGUAUUAGCUGUGCAUGAUGUAGGGGAAUGCACAUGAUGACUUCGGCUAUGUGCAGUGUGGGAGUGCACAUGAGCUGGGUGAGGCAGUGGUGGUGUAUAUGCUUAUAUAUAUAUUUACUAUGUAUAGAGGUUUAGAAUUAAUAUGUGAUUGCAUUGACUGUUGAAACUUGAUUAUUGUCAAUGUGUUCACUUUGAUGUGCAAUAUGGUAAGAAUGGAUUUUGUGGCAUGUGAAAAUCUCUUAAUUGUCAUCUACCUUGAAUCUCACUGUAGUGAGAAACUCUCGGGUGGUGGGGGUACAAACUAGCUCUGUUUCUCACUGCAGCGAAAAAGAAUUCUCGCUAUAGCGAGAAUGGAUUUUCGCUGCAACGAGAAACUCUUAGGUGGUUCCAAAAUUCUGGAGCAGUGCUUUCACUUUGAUAAAGAUUUUGACCACCUUCUGCUCAAAACUGGGCAAAAUUGUGAACAUAAAAGUUGUAGCCCAGCCUCUUAGAUUUCUAAUGGUCUAAAAAUCAUGUCAAUUGGACAUCUGUAGUGGGAGAUAUGCUUCAAAAACCGAAAUAUAUGCAAACUAAAUCAAUUGCAUUGUUUUUGAAACAAGUGCAUCAUGAUUUCCAAGUUCUGCUUAUCAAUUGCUUGUUCCCUUCUUAUGUUCACUCACUAAGUUUUAUAUUCACAUUUUUAAACUUCAUGUUUGCAGAUUUGGAGGCAGUUGGGACCUAGAUUGAGUGUCCACGUAUGCUCGUCUUCUUGGUAGGUACUGUGGCAUCUUAGUAGCAGUACCUUCACUUAAAGUCACUCUGCUGACGGUUGAGAGUCUUUUGUCUGUGUACAUGUAUAUGUAAUGUAAACUACUAAAAGUCAUGUUAUAAAUGAAGUAUGUAUAUGUUGGAUUGAUGGUGAUGCCCUUCUGGAAUGGCAAUGAAUGACAGUACUUUGAGAUGAUACAAAUAUGAAUAUUCGGUUGUUAUAAAAUAUUAUUGAAACAUUCAUCAUUGAGAAUUACAAAACAUGAUUUUCAAGAUGAUGGAUGGAAUGAGGAACAGGAUCUCAUAAAGAGGCUUGCUUGGGCCUAGUGGGCUAUACCCAUUGAGCCUAUGCAUCUGUUAUGGUCGAGGAUUUGGGUUGUGACAAAGGUGGUAUCAAAGCUCUCGGUUUAGUCGAGUCUUAGGGAUUUUCGUGUCAGUCAGCGGAGUUGUCGGAGUUAAUGUAGAGUCUUGUUUAUGGUUUGUGAUUGCAACAUAAUUCAUAGACAGGAGGCUAUAUGAACUCCUAUUCCUAGUAACCUACCUUAUUGCUAACAUUAUGCAAAGGUCAUAAGUGGUGCUAUUUUUCGGGUUUGAGAUGCCAUCCGAGACAUGAGCUGCUGUUGGAAAGAUUUUAAGCAAAUGCUCCUAAUGAAAGGUUAAUGUAAUAACAAAUCCCUCCAAUUAAAGAUGGAGGAAAUUAGAGCUAGACUAAUAGGUCUAUAAUGACUUAUUCAUUCAUUGGAGUUAUAAUUUAAGCCCAUAAUUGUCAAUGAGAAGAAAUUGGAUGAUAUUGGAUCAUUAUUGAGGUCAAUAUAACAGAACACAUACGAUAAUGGUAAUAAGGGGCGCACUUUGACUGGAAUGAAUAGUGAUGGUUGUAAUUUACUUGGAGUGUAUAGAUCUAAGUAUUGGGAAAAGUGUAAACUGAUGUUUAUGUGCACAAAGGUAAGUGCACUAUGUUAAAUAAGCUUG